rnacentral:rRNA from 1 species
AACUUUCAACAACGGAUCUCUUGGUUCUGGCAUCGAUGAAGAACGCAGCGAAAUGCGAUAAGUAGUGUGAAUUGCAGAAUUCAGUGAAUCAUCGAAUAUUUGAACGCACAUUGCGCCCCUUGGUAUUCCAUGGGGCAUGCCUGUUCGAGCGUCA